ensembl:lncRNA
CAAGGGAGGAAGCAGUUGCCCGCUUCCAUUUAUUUAUUUUUAAUUAUUGAGCUUGUCCAUAACCUAACAAGCUCAGGGAACCUUCCCUUUGAAGUGGCUUGGAGAUUUUGAAUGCAGUUUCCUCCCACAAUCCGGGAGCAGCUCCCAGAGUUGUGGUGAUGAGUGGACAAGAACUUCUGGGGAGGAUAUUUUACCUGCAUCCUCAUCGGUGCCUGACAAGGAUGAGAGAAGCUUGGCCUUCUGCUGCUGCAGCAUGACAAACCACUGCACACCACCACCUCUUAUGCCCCCGGCUCAGCAGAAAGAUAAGGGCCUCUCCAGGGCUUUUGCUGCCUCCACCACCGUGGGUCAACAUCCAGGAAGGAAGACGUUUCUAAGGAAACCACGGAGGCUUUCCACCAAGGUGGUUGCAUGAAAGCGCUGAACUGGUGAGAGUGACAAAAAGCAGUUCAUUGGAUAAUGUAGAAAAAGGGCAUGGACAAAGCUUUACCUGAUUGUCUGGAGCCAGCAUAGAAAGGCAUAACUUUGGGCUUCUUAAGAUCUACAGAUGGAAACCUCCUGGCAGCGUGUGCAGAAACGAUCAGGUCCACAAGGACAACACGGGACAAAUCAAUCAUACAAGAUGGAUGGGGCCAUUGGGUGACGCUUGGGUGAAAACCGCUUCCAGAUUUCACACCAGCUUCGCUUUUGUGCUCCGGCUGAAAACACAGCUUUAUUGCAUGAGCAUAAGUAAUACAGGAAGGCACUUACCACUCCAUUUUGUGCAGCUUUUGUUUGUGAUAGUCUUAAUUUACUGCUGAAGUGAAUCCGAGACUGAUAAUUUUUAUGAUUUUUUACCGAGAAAAGACAUUAAGCUACUUACUUUGGCUGCACUUCCUACGCUGCAGAAAUUAUUUAUCCAAGCACAGCGGCAAAGUGGGUCAGGGGAGGAAUAAUAAUAAUAAUAAUAAAAGAAACCGCCCACAAAAAUCUUGAAUCCCUUGCAGAAGUUGGGUUAAGGCUCAAG